CCCAAGUUCUGGGUUCAAACUCUUGCUGCCACUUUUUCCAUUUUUUUCUUUUUCUUCAUUUUUAACCUUUGUUUUUUUUAAUUUCUUUUGCAUUUUUUUAACCAUCUAAAACAUUUUUUCUUUCUAAUUUUUUAUACAUAUUUCAUGUUUGUGAUAUUAUAUUUGCCAUUUUAUUUUUGUUUUUACUUUUUCCAUUUAUUUUAUUUCGAUUACGGUCAUUGUAAGUACGUCAUUUUUAAUGUUCAAAAACAAUGUGAUACUUAUGAACUUUGCUUAUGUGACUUUGAUU
rnacentral:lncRNA from 1 species